rnacentral:rRNA from 1 species
UACAGAGGUCCCAAGCGUUGUUCGGAUUCAUUGGGCGUAAAGGGUGCGUAGGUGGCGCCAUAAGUCAGGUGUGAAAUUUCGGAGCUUAACUCCGAAACUGCAUUUGAUACUGUGGUGCUUGAGGACUGGAGAGGAGACUGGAAUUUACGGUGUAGCAGUGAAAUGCGUAGAGAUCGUAAAGAAGACCAGUGGCGAAGGCGGGUCUCUGGACAGUUCCUGACACUGAGGCACGAAGGCCAGGGGAGCAAACGGG